UACGGGGGGGGUAAGCGUUGUUCGGAAUUACUGGGCGUAAAGGGCUCGUAGGCGGCCAACUAAGUCAGACGUGAAAUCCCUCAGCUUAACUGGGGAACUGCGUCUGAUACUGGAUGGCUUGGAUCCGGAAGAGGGAUGCGGAAUUCCAGGUGUAGCGGUGAAAUGCGUAGAGAUGUGGAGGUACACCGAUGGCGAAGGCAGCCUCCUGGGCCAGCACUGACGCUCAUGCACGAAAGCGUGGGGAGCAAACAGG
rnacentral:rRNA from 1 species